rnacentral:rRNA from 1 species
UACGUAGGGGGCAAGCGUUGUCCGGAAUCAUUGGGCGUAAAGAGCGUGUAGGCGGCCAGGUAGGUCUGCUGUGAAAACUCGAGGCUCAACCUCGAGAUGUCGGCGGAAACCAUCUGGCUAGAGUCCGGAAGAGGAGAGUGGAAUUCCCGGUGUAGCGGUGAAAUGCGCAGAUAUCGGGAAGAACACCUAUGGCGAAGGCAGCUCUCUGGGACGGUACUGACGCUGAGACGCGAAAGCGUGGGGAGCGAACAGG